rnacentral:rRNA from 1 species
AGGGCACGAGGGGACUCUACGGGAGGCAGCAGUGGGGAAUAUUGCACAAUGGGCGCAAGCCUGAUGCAGCCAUGCCGCGUGUAUGAAAAGGCUUCGGGUUGUAAAGUACUUUCAGCAGGGAGGAAGGUGUUGUGGUUAAAUACCAAAAGAUUGACGUUCUCGGAGGAGAAGAGCCG